GACGAACGCUGGCGGCGUGCUUAACACAUGCAAGUCGAACGCUGAAGCACCAGCUUUCUGGUUUGGAUGAGUGGCGAACGGGUGAGUAAUACGUGAGUAACCUGCCCUUGACUCUGGGAUAAGCCCUGGAAACUGGGUCUAAUACUGGAUGCUACAUGUCACCGCAUGGUGGUGUGUGGAAAGGGUUUACUGUUCUUGGAUGUGCUCACGGCGUCUCAGCUUGUUGGUAAGGUAAUGGCUUACCAAGUUGACGAUGGGUAGCCGACCUGCGAGGGUGACCGGCCACAAUGGAAGGGAGAAGCGGUACAGAGUCAUACGGGAGGAAGCAGUAGGGAAUCGUCAGCAAUGGGCGAAAGCCUGACGGAGCAACGCCGCGUGAGUGAUGAAGGUAUGCGGAUCGUAAAACUCUGUUAUGAGGGAAGAACAAAUGUGGAAGUAAAUAUGCAAGUCUUGACGGUACCUAAUCAGAAAGCCACGGCUAACUACGUG
rnacentral:rRNA from 1 species